rnacentral:rRNA from 1 species
UACGUAGGGGGCUAGCGUUGUCCGGAAUCAUUGGGCGUAAAGAGCGCGUAGGCGGCCCGGUAAGUCCGCUGUGAAAGUCGGGGGCUCAACCCUCGAAUGCCGGUGGAUACUGUCGGGCUAGAGUGCGGAAGAGGCGGGUGGAAUUCCUGGUGUAGCGGUGAAAUGCGCAGAUAUCAGGAGGAACACCAAUUGCGAAGGCAGCUCGCUGGGACGUAACUGACGCUGAGACGCGAAAGCGUGGGGAGCAAACGGG